rnacentral:lncRNA from 1 species
AGCAACACCUUCUGGUAUCCUGUACUGAAAAAAUCAGCAUACCUUUAAUUGCAUAUAAGAAAGAACUGGUUCCCGGAUCUUCGGAUGUACCAAAACAGGUACUUCCGAUCUGACAAAAAGGCAAAAUGUACCCUCCUUUUUAAAUUUCAUGCCAUUUUUUUAUUGUUCAAAUUUAUCAGUCAAAAAUUGUUCUACAAUGAUCACCAGUCAUGUAGCUUUCAUUUGAUACCAAAAUUAAUAAAAUAUUCUACAUAUUUUGAAAGAUAUGUCCAUGCGUAGGAACUAUUUUGUGUUAAAUAUGUACUACUUUCUGGUAUGUGCUUUCUGGCCGGGCCCGAAUUAGUGGUGUUACACCUAUAACAGAAUUUUUUCUCAAAUUAAGAGAUUUCAAUGCACCAGUCAUGUUCCAAAAUCAUUUCUGAGCAUGCGUUUAAAAUUUUACAUGUCUACAUAACACGGUUACUGAAAAAAAUAAAAAACUAGAACCCCUAUCUCAGCUGAUUUCUAUAACAUAAGUCUUUAAAAUGGGGUAAAUGACCACUUACAUUAGACUUUGAAUUAAAACCUCAAAAAGGAGAUUUAAGUGCAUUUUUUUGUUUUCCUAGUUCACUUCAUACAUUAAACCAUCAGCCUAGAAC